AAAAUGACUUCAGUUCAAGGCAGAAGGAAAUCAACCUCUUGGAAAAGAUCAUCAGAUGACAAAACAGCUUGCUGGUAGUUGGAAAAGGGACAAGAAGGUCCAACCACUAGAUGGCCUUUCUCAUAACUGUAUAAGCACAGUCAAUUACCUAGAAGUUCAUAAGGAGAAGUCAGCGUCCCAUAGUCACGUCCCAAUGGGCCCAAUAAAACUGUCUACUAGUCUGCCUUUCUUCUCUGGGUCAGGAAUUUGAUGAGGAGCUGGGGGAGGAGCAUCAUCUGAAUGGCUCAUCUGUCUUUAGUGAUGGAGGAAGGACAUCAGGGUCACAUAGUGUGCAAUGAUUAAAUAUGCUUUCUUACACAAAUUUUAAUUUUAGCUAAAAGAACUACACCUAUUUUUCCAGUAAAGGUCAACACACUGGGGGCCAUUAAGAGGUGUCACAACUGUCCAUUCCAGCCUUGACAGACUGCCUCUCAGCUGUCAUCUGAAAGCUCUCCUUCUAGCACUGUCCAGAGAAUUCCCUUUGCAUCUUUUCUGGAUCCUGAGGCUUCCCCCUCCCCCAACACACACACUCCUUGGUAGAAGCACAUUCUUCAGUAGCUUUGUGAAAAAAGAGUCCAGAGGAGGUAA